UCUGGCAGCCAUAGCGGCAGGUGUAAUCCUGUACCCAUCCCGAACACAGUAGAUAAGCCUGCCCGCGUUCCUUGCCUGUACUGAAGUGUGCGAGCUUCGGGAACUCUGGAUCGUGCCAUAU
rnacentral:rRNA from 1 species